rnacentral:rRNA from 1 species
CCUACGGGAGGCAGCAGUGAGGAAUAUUGGACAAUGGGCGCAAGCCUGAUCCAGCCAUGCCGCGUGCAGGAUGACGGUCCUAUGGAUUGUAAACUGCUUUUAUACAGGAAGAAACCCUGGUUCGUGAACCAGCUUGACGGUACUGUAAGAAUAAGGAUCGGCUAACUCCGUGCCAGCAGCCGCGGUAAUACGGAGGAUCCAAGCGUUAUCCGGAAUCAUUGGGUUUAAAGGGUCCGUAGGCGGUUUAAUAAGUCAGUGGUGAAAGCCCAUCGCUCAACGGUGGAACGGCCAUUGAUACUGUUAAACUUGAAUUAUUAGGAAGUAACUAGAAUAUGUAGUGUAGCGGUGAAAUGCUUAGAGAUUACAUGGAAUACCAAUUGCGAAGGCAGGUUACUACUAAUAUAUUGACGCUGAUGGACGAAAGCGUGGGUAGCGAACAGGAUUAGAUACCCUGGUAGUCCACGCCGUAAACGAUGGAUACUAGCUGUUGGGAGCAAUCUCAGUGGCUAAGCGAAAGUGAUAAGUAUCCCACCUGGGGAGUACGUUCGCAAGAAUGAAACUCAAAUGAAUUGACGG